rnacentral:lncRNA from 1 species
UAACACUGGGUGCUCAACCGCUGGUUCAUGUCUUAAUGUGGAAGUUCUGCUGUAAGUACUCUAAAUGCUCUUUGUUGCCUUCUGCUAUUUGGUUUAGAGUCUUUAAGAUGCAGACUAAUUAACCAUGUGCUACAAGCAUUUCAAUAUGGCUACUGUUUCAAGAACUUCAAAACCCUAAGCUGGAAUUUAAGAUACUGCUGCUAAUUUUACAGUCCUGCUUGUGUAUUUGUAACAUUGACAAAGAUGUAGUGAACUUGAGAGUAGAGACAAGAUUAAGGAAGAUCCUCUGGCAAUGGAAACUCUUUCUCAUGAAGGGAGAAAGAGAAAUGGGCCACAGGAUGCUUGUUUCAAUUUUACCAGUUUGACAUCGUGAGUACCUGUAGUCCAAUAGAUCUUUCUCAGUGUGCUUGACCUUGGAAAGGCAUGAGGAAGUAUAACUGCUUCUAUGGAGGCAGAUUUGAUGUCCAGUCAACUACUUCCAUGAAAAAAAUGACUGAAUUAAUGCCCUACCUCUUC